GAUGAAGAACGCAGCGAAAUGCGAUAAGUAAUGUGAAUUGCAGAAUUCAGUGAAUCAUCGAAUCUUUGAACGCACAUUGCGCCCGCCAGUAUUCUGGCGGGCAUGCCUGUUCGAGCGUCAUUACAACCCUCAGGCCCCCGGGCCUGGCGUUGGGGAUCGGCGGAAGCCCCCUGCGGGCACAACGCCGUCCCCCAAAUACAGUGGCGGUCCCGCCGCAGCUUCCAUUGCGUAGUAGCUAACACCUCGCAACUGGAGAGCGGCGCGGCCACGCCGUAAAACACCCAACUUCUGAAUGUUGACCUCGAAUCAGGUAGGAAUACCCGCUAAACUUAAGCAUAUCAAUAAGCGGAGGA
rnacentral:misc_RNA from 1 species